GAGCGGUUUCUGGAAUACUAUAUGUAAGUAUAGUGUUCUGGAGGCAUCAUUCUAUGGUUACCCAUCAUUAGAGGAAAUUUCCAAUAAACUCUGGUGUAAGGCUUAGAGUGAUGGUCGAGGUGCCCUAUUUAGGGUGAGGAGCCUCGGUGGCAGCCCCACCAAAUCCUCUAUUGGAUAGGAACAGCUGUACUGGGCAGUUACAGCAGUCGUAUGGUAACACAUGCGGCGUUCCGAAAUACCAUGCCUUGAUA
rnacentral:misc_RNA from 1 species